UUUACCUUAUUAGGAAACAACUUCACGGACUGGUUCACUACACAUGUACAGAGGGUGGUGCAGGGUGACUACCCCAUCAUACAGGAGAGAAUAUACAAGUACCUGCGGGAUCCUGACUGCAUAGCCGUCACCAAUAACGUCACCGUUACCGUGGGAACGUCGUUCUGCCCAGAACUCAGCACAGUCAACCCCCCACACUACUUCUUCACUUACAGAAUAAGGAUGUCCAUGGACAAGAGCGUUUCACCAGAGG